CAAUACAUGUUUCUACAUCAUUUUUUAGACAAAGAACCUGAGGCACAAAGCUCUAAGAUGACUUUCCCAAGAUAAAAUCACAUGUGCUAAGUGAAAAUGGAAAAUACCUGGUGCUGGUGAUGGAAAAUAUUCUUCCUUGAACAUAUUCCACAAGAAUAAAUGAGACAAUUGCUAAUCGGAAAUCUCUGAUGCUUCCAAACAUCAGUGAACCUUAAGAGUGAUCCAGCCAGAGUGUUUCCUAAUGAAAUGGCAAGUAUUCUCCCACAGUGUCAUUUGCUCGAGGACAUUUCAGGAGCUCCAAAAGAACUUUUUGCUACAAAGAGUUUCUAGGAGAAAAUGAAGCUUCCAUCAAGAGAAUGCAACAGGGUGCAGAGUGAAGCUUUGUUUUAGAGCCGAGACAUCGGUGUGCUUGCUUGGCAACUUGGUGGGUGGUUUGUUUUAUGACAUUAAAUGUUCUCCUCAAGCAGGUGUUGGCUGAGUGGAAUAAAACUAAUUAGACUGAUCUAAUCUUGGGUGAAACUGAGUUGAUGUGAC